UGUAGCCUGCCACAGGCCUUUCGUACGUAAAAACUGCUGUGCUUCAGUUUUGACAAAUUUUAGAGAAGAUCUUCGCUCUUCUGCUGGAUCUCUCUUUCUCUUUCUCUCUCAGAUCUAAUUGAUUAACAAAUGAAUCCUACGAUUCCAUCGAAGCAUCCUUCAGAUCCCAAUCCCGUCUCGCAGAUCUCUCUCCUGUGAUUCAGAUCCCUCUCUUAUUCCUUCCCUUCUAACUUUUUUUUUUAAAAUUUUUCUUCAGAUAAAAUCUCCCGAUCCCUCAAAUUUUCUCUCCCCAUAUUUUUUUAAUGGGCUUCCCUUCCAUUCACUUUAUCUUCAUUGCUUCCUUUUUCUUCUUCGCUCUCUCUUCCAGUACUUUUGCUCAGGAGUCUGGAAUUGAAGUUGAGAAGGAGGAAUCCAGUGGGUCAUCUAAAGUUGUGGGCCGCCGCGCCAUGAUUGUUUCAAAGAAUUUUCAGAAUGGUGCACUAGACGAGAAGGCUGAUAUCGUUUCUAUGGGUAUUAAUCUCGGUUUUGAUUCAGCUGGUCUUGGCAUCUUUGAUGCAUUCUUUACAAGUUUUUCCAUGAUAAUUAUCAGCGAGAUUGGAGAUGAGACGUUUAUAAUAGCAGCUCUUAUGGCAAUGCGGCACCCAAAGUCAACUGUUCUAUCUGGUGCUCUCACUGCCCUGAUUGUUAUGACAGUACUUUCCACUGGACUAGGUAGGAUUGUACCAAAUUUGAUAUCAAGGAAGCACACCAAUAGUGCAGCUACGGUUCUUUAUGCAUUUUUUGGGUUUCGGUUACUUUACAUUGCCUGGAGAUCAGAUUCAAAGGCAUCUCAGAAAAAGGAAAUGGAAGAAGUAGAAGAGAAACUUGAGACUGGGCAAGGGAAAACAUCUUUUCGGCGCUUCUUCUCCAGAUUUUGUACACCAAUAUUUUUGGAGUCAUUUAUUCUAACAUUUCUAGCAGAAUGGGGUGAUCGAAGCCAGAUUGCAACAAUUGCUGUCCCCAAUGCCAAAUUACCAUUAGAUGCCAAAUUUAGCAUUAGAUUUUUUAGAUUUGUGCUGGCAACACAUAAAAAUGCUGUUGGAGUAGCUGUAGGAGCCACGUUAGGACACACCAUCUGUACAUCUUUGGCUGUGGUGGGAGGAAGCAUGCUAGCGGCCAAGAUCUCGCAGCGCACUGUUGCUACAAUUGGAGGCUUACUCUUCCUUGGUUUUUCCCUGUCUUCAUAUUUCUAUCCUCCCCUAUGAUUGUAGGCUAACAUGAUUCUUUGGGAGCACCAGUGUUCUCUUCAAAAUUUUCCUUUUGUUUAUUGCUUUUUGGUUAUAUGAACACUGAAAAGGUUUUAUUCUAACUGGUUGAAAAACAUAUAAUUGUCCCAUAUUCUUUUGUAUACAUAACAUAGUUAUAUUUAUUAAAAGUGGUUUUCCGUGGGCUUCACUCGUUCAGAUAUUGAAAAAUGAUCUUGGUUGUAUUUCUCCUUUCACAAACAUCCCUCUAUUUAUUUCUUCAAACAAUUCUGCCGUACAAACUAACAGGGAGCAGCAGACCAUUGGAGUAAGAGCAGUAUGGCAUAGAUGUUUAUAAAAGAAAUGAAGCUGAGUCUUUUACCCAACGCCCCACUCUAACCAAAACUAAAUUGGCUUAGCCAUGUUCGUGAUUUCCAUUUUAACGCUUGUUUAUGAUCCCGGUAAUUUUUAUAUUUGUAUUUAUAUUUAUUUAUUUUAUUUUUUAUCACAUGUUUGUUUCAUGUUUAAUAUUUAUAAAAUUAAAAAAUUAUUAUCUCACAAUUUCUUUCCUAUUUUUUAAAAUUAUACGACCUACGUUCUUGUUUAUCUUCCUGUAUCUUCUAUCUUCAACCAAAUAUUACUAACCUUUACGCCUCUAACAAUGCAACCUCAUUUCCAGGCAGCGCUGAUAAAAUGUUCUCCUCUUAUUUGACCCCUAGAAAACAUCUCAAAAACCCCACCAUUUUUUCUAUUUCUCUUAAAGAAAUUAGUUUCCUUUCAUUUUCAUCAAUGCAAAUUCUACUCCCACCAACAUUUAGCUUUACCCACUAAUAACUCCCUUCACGCUAAGGCCUUCAAAGAUAGUUCCUUUCAAAACUUAGACGUAGCUAACCACCUUUUAAGCUUUGCGCGUAAACUGUUUGAUGAAAUGUACGAUAGAGAUGUCCAAGCUUGGACAAUACUAGUUUCUUCUUUUGCACGUGUUGGUUCUAAUGAAGUUGUGUUGGAACUUUUUAAGGACAUGCCAAAUUAGGAUGUUAAACCAAACGAAUUCACUUUGUCAAGUGUUUUGAAGUGUUGUUCUAGUUUGUGUGAGCUUAGGAUAGGGAAAGGAGUUCAUGGGUGGAUUUUAAGGAAUGGGGUUGCUUUUGAUAUUGUUUUUGGAUGAAUGCCCUUCUUGAUUUUUAUGUCAAAUGUGAGGAUUUUGGAUCUGCCAAAUGGUUGUUUGAGUUAAUGGAAGAGAGAAAUAGUGUAACAUGGAAUAUAAUGAUUGGCGCACAUUUGAAUAUUGGAGUUGUUGAUUUAUUUAGAAGGUUUAAUUUUAAGGAUGUUGCUAAUUGGAAUACAAUUAUAAAUGGCGUAAUGCAAAAAGGGUUUGAAAGAAUUGCAUUGGAACUACUUUAUGAGAUGGUAAAAUUGGAACUUAAUGAAGCCAUUCUUUCUAUAGCUGGGUUUUGGUUUCAUUGUUAAUAGAUUCAGAAUUAGGGAAACAAAUUCCUGGGAGGGUGUUGAGAUUAGGAAUUCAUGUUGAUGGGUUCAUAAGGAUUCACUUAUUGAUAUGUAUUGCAAAUGUGGGGAAAUGCAAAUGGCAUCAAAAGUUUUUGAGAAAAUGGAUAUGGAUUUUGGGAGGAAAGAAAAUUGCAUUGAAGAAAUUAUUUCUUGGAGUUGGAUUAUUUCUGCAUAGCUUCUGAAUGGUUCAUGCCGUCAUUCAGAAAAUUGGGCACAAAGUAAAUGCUUAUUGGGGAUCCUCAUUGAUUGACAUGAUUGCUAAAUGUGGAAACUUGGAUGAAGCUCAGAUGAUUUUCAAGCA